rnacentral:rRNA from 1 species
AGUGAACGCUGGCGGUAGGCCUAACACAUGCAAGUCGAACGACAGCACAGUAAGAGCUUGCUCUUACGGUUGGCGAGUGGCGGACGGGUGAGGAAUACAUCGGAAUCUACUUUUUCGUGGGGGAUAACGUAGGGACACUUACGCUAAUACCGCAUACGACCUACGGGUGAAAGCAGGGGAUCUUCGGACCUUGCGCGAUUGAAUGAGCCGAUGUCGGAUUAGCUAGUUGGCGGGGUAAGGGCCCACCAAGGCGACGAUCCGUAGCUGGUCUGAGAGGAUGAUCAGCCACACUGGAACUGAGACACGGUCCAGACUCCUACGGGAGGCAGCAGUGGGGAAUAUUGGACAAUGGGCGCAAGCCUGAUCCAGCCAUACCGCGUGGGUGAAGAAGGCCUUCGGGUUGUAAAGCCCUUUUGUUGGGAAAGAAAAGCAGCAGGUUAAUACCCCGCUGUUCUGACGGUACCCAAAGAAUAAGCACCGGCUAACUUCGUG